CAAAGGAAUUGACGUGGACCCGCACAAGCGGUGGAUGAUGUGGAUUAAUUCGAUGCAACGCGAAAACCUUACCUACCCUUGACAUGUCUGGAAUCCCGAAGAGAUUUGGAGUGCUCGCAAGAGAACCGGAACACAGGUGCUGCAUGGCUGUCGUCAGCUCGUGUCGUGAGAUGUUGGGUUAAGUCCCGCAACGAGCGCAACCCUUGUCAUUAGUUGCUACGAAAGGGCACUCUAAUGAGACUGCCGGUGACAAACCGGAGGAAGGUGGGGAUGACGUCAAGUCCUCAUGGCCCUUAUGGGUAGGGCUUCACACGUCAUACAAUGGUCGGGACAGAGGGUCGCCAACCCGCGAGGGGGAGCCAAUCCCAGAAACCCGAUCGUAGUCCGGAUUGUAGUCUGCAACUCGACUACAUGAAGUCGGAAUCGCUAGUAAUCGCGGAUCAGCAUGUCGCGGUGAAUACGUUCCCGGGUCUU
rnacentral:rRNA from 1 species